rnacentral:rRNA from 1 species
CCUACGGGAGGCAGCAGUAGGGAAUCUUCCGCAAUGGACGAAAGUCUGACGGAGCAACGCCGCGUGAACGAUGAAGGCCUUCGGGUCGUAAAGUUCUGUUGUUAGGGAAGAACAAGUGCUAGUUGAAUAAGCUGGCACCUUGACGGUACCUAACCAGAAAGCCACGGCUAACUACGUGCCAGCAGCCGCGGUAAUACGUAGGUGGCAAGCGUUGUCCGGAAUUAUUGGGCGUAAAGCGCGCGCAGGCGGUUUCUUAAGUCUGAUGUGAAAGCCCCCGGCUCAACCGGGGAGGGUCAUUGGAAACUGGGAAACUUGAGUGCAGAAGAGGAAAGUGGAAUUCCAAGUGUAGCGGUGAAAUGCGUAGAGAUUUGGAGGAACACCAGUGGCGAAGGCGACUUUCUGGUCUGUAACUGACGCUGAGGCGCGAAAGCGUGGGGAGCAAACAGGAUUAGAUACCCUGGUAGUCCACGCUGUAAACGAUGAGUGCUAAGUGUUAGAGGGUUUCCGCCUUUAGUGCUGAAGUUAACGCAUUAAGCACUCCGCCUGGGGAGUACGGUCGCAAGCUGAAACUUAAGGAAUUGACGG